CGAGGCGUAGCGCAGUUGGUAGCGCGCGUGGUUUGGGACCAUGAGGUCGCAGGUUCGAUCCCUGUCGCCUCGA
rfam:Clostridium sp. CAG:356 genomic scaffold, scf65